AAAGCGCAGCUUCAAAGAAACCAGAUUUAACACUCACGGCAAUGUUUUGGUUAAUAGAAAAACUACACAUACUACAGGAGUUGAAAUUAAUGGAAGCAGGCAGCUUUCUGAACUGGUGAAGACAAGACGUGCGGCAACAGCACGUGCGAUUGCCCGAGUGCUCUGAUUGAGGAGAACGAAGCUAACCCACGCCCCCUCCGACACGUGGGCAGCAGCCGGAUGCAUUUUGUCACCUACACUUGACGAGUGCAAUGUGGAUCAGCACUGUGUAUGGAGAUGAUCAGCACAUUUUUUUCUACGUCUCUGUGCAGGCGCCAUCAAUCAGCCAGCAGAGGUCGUAGUUGCAUCAGUUUUAUGAGAGUCCCUAUCCGGCUUAAUAUCCCACCCUUAUAUGAACAACAGGCAAUUGUUGUUCAUGUGCCGGCAGGCAGAGCUGAGACUCGAUAUGAUGUAUUCAAGAUCACAGCUUUGGUGUUCUAGCGUGUGUUUUUACCACUGCGCCACCUGAGCGGCUUGUGGAUUUCAUUUUGAAUGGACAUUAUUUAAGGGCACUUGGGUGGCGCAGCGGUCUAUUAUGCUCAUUUACCAGGUUCUGAUCUCAGUGGUGCUAUCAGCUGUUUAGGCAUCUAGGCAGACAGCAGAUUGGCUAUGUCUGGUGGAUGGGGGAGGGGGGUGAUCAAAGCACUGAUGAAUAGGUGCCCUGUCUUGCCUUGCACCCAAUGUUUCCUGGUGCAUCCUGACCAGGAUAAAGUGGUUAAUGAAAAUAAAAUUUAAAAAAAAAAUGCCAUUUACCCAUCAAUCUACACUUAA